GAGUUUGAUUCUGGCUCAGGAUGAACGCUAGCGAUAGGCUUAACACAUGCAAGUCGAGGGGCAGCGAGGGUAGCAAUACCUGUCGGCGACCGGCGCACGGGUGAGUAACGCGUAUGUAACCUGCCCGCAACAGGGGGAUAACCAGGCGAAAGUCGGACUAAUACCGCAUAAAACAGGGGUCCCGCAUGGGAAUAUUUGUUAAAGAUUUAUCGGUUGCGGAUGGGCAUGCGUACCAUUAGGUAGUUGGUGAGGUAACGGCUCACCAAGCCUUCGAUGGUUAGGGGUUCUGAGAGGAAGGUCCCCCACACUGGUACUGAGACACGGACCAGACUCCUACGGGAGGCAGCAGUGAGGAAUAUUGGUCAAUGGGCGAGAGCCUGAACCAGCCAAGUCGCGUGAAGGAUGACUGCCCUAUGGGUUGUAAACUUCUUUUACAAGGGAAUAAAAUGAGAUACGUGUAUUUUAUUGCAU
rnacentral:rRNA from 1 species